rnacentral:tRNA from 1 species
GAGGUAAUAGUAUAACAAAGUAUAUUUCUCUUUCUAAGAAAAGGUUAUUACCUUA